rnacentral:rRNA from 1 species
AUGAAGGCUCCACAGCUUCCCUUUUCAUGCAAAUUUAAUGAUAAUAAAACCUUAGCUUCUUAUGCUAAUGGUAUAUAUGAUUACUAUGAUGUGGAAAAAAUAGAAGAAUUUGUUGCUUUUAUGGGUGCUUAUCAAAUUGAAUCUAUGUUUAAAGAGUUUGAAGAUUUUGAUGAUGCUGUUUAUAGACCUGAAAAUUUAGCUAUCCUCAAAUAUUGCUAUGAGAAUUAUGAAUACAAUUCCGAUAUUAAUGCACUUAUUGAGAAAGUUUGCGCUGUCCAAGAAGAGAUUAGUAUUUUGUAG